rnacentral:lncRNA from 1 species
GAUAAAUUCACUUAUUUUUCACAAUUCUUCUGGUUAUGCCUUUUCCUCUUUAUUUUCUAUAUUCCAAUAUGCAAUAAUGGAGAUGGAGUACUUGGGAUCAGCAUAAUUCUAAAACUACGGAACCAACUGGUUUCACACCGGGAGAACAAGAUCCAGAGCAAGGACCCCAAGAGUUUGGAGGAUAUCUUGAGAAAAGGUUUUAGCACCGGUGUAUCCUAUAUGGACUCUACUUUAUUCGAAGUAUCCCAAUGGUGUAAGGCUGUCGACUUAUUGGGAAAAAGGAGGAAAAGAACUUUGAUCUCUUGUUUCGGAGAAAUAAGUGGCUCACGAGGCAUGGAAAGAAACAUAUUCUAUUUGAUCUCGAAGUCCUCCUAUAGCAAUCCUGGAUGGGGGAUCACUUGUAGGAAUGACAUAAUGCUAAUCCAUGUUCCAC